rnacentral:tRNA from 1 species
GGGGAUAGCUCAGUGGUACAGCACGUGCUUAGCAUGCAUAAGGUCCUGGGUUCAAUCCCCAGCACCUCCA